rnacentral:rRNA from 1 species
UACGUAGGCAGCAAGCGUUGUUCGGAAUUACUGGGCGUAAAGAGCGUGUAGGCGGCCAGGUAGGUCAGCUGUGAAAACUCGAGGCUUAACCUCGAGAUGUCGGCUGAAACCAUCUGGCUAGAGUCCGGAAGAGGAGAGUGGAAUUCCUGGUGUAGCGGUGAAAUGCGCAGAUAUCAGGAAGAACACCCGUGGCGAAGGCGGCUCUCUGGUACGUGACUGACGCUGAGACGCGAAAGCGUGGGGAGCAAACAGG